UUCGGCUGGCUCGGCUCGGCUCCACCUGCAGAAAAGAAAGGACGGUCAGCGUAUUCCUCCCGCUCAAAAUUUCUCUCUCUUCUUUUCAACGGAGCGCGCGCUAUUUCUUCCCGCUUCUGCCUCUCUCUUCCUCAAGCACUCCUCUCCUCUCUGUCCCGAGUCCUCUCAUUCACCCCAAGCGCCCCCCUCCUCUCUGUCUCGAGCCCUCUCACUCACCCUAAGCGCUUCCCUCCUCGCCUCGUUCUUGGUCGAUGAUGGCGUAGCUCUGCUUGAUGGCUUCGCAUGGUUAUCCGCCGAGCCUCGUUCUUGGUCAGGAGCAAGGGCGCGAGCAGAGUCGUCAGGGAUCUUCAGCCAAUUUUGCCUGCUGCUAGGACAAGACAAGACAUUAUAAGAUUGGGAUCCAUGACCCUCAGUCCUAAUCAAUUCAAGGAGGCAGUGGAACCCCUAUAUGUACUGUUAGCAGCAAAGCAGUGUGUGCAGAUUGAUUCUGUGGAGAAAGAUCCCAUGAUUCUAGAUUUGCAAGCAGUUGAAGAUCUCACUCUCUUUAUUUUUUAUUUUUUUAAAUCAAUUCACGUUAUAUGUCAGCUUGUCCAAAAGGAGAGACCUUGCAUUCCUUCUGGAUGUCCACUCAACUACUGGGCCCCUAGGCACCGGAAUUGCUGAACAAUCCACCAUGCAGAGAGAAGUCUUUGAGUUUAGCAUGUCUGGAUUGAGUUGUGCUGAAAAGGCUGGACUAGAUAUGUCUCUAGUAUCUGAUUUAACGGGUCUUCACUCAGUGGAAACUGACAUGCAUCGCCUGCCCAUCAUUCCUUCUCUCGUCUACCCUAACUUUCAAUUUUCCACUCAGAGCGCUCUCUCAGAUUUCAUGGGAGAUUUGGUCCGAAAUUCAAAAAUAACCAUUAACUCCGAUGGUAGUCUUGAUCGCAGCUAGUGGGGCUGAGAUGAAGGAUCUCCUCUCAAUUGUAGCGGAGUUUUACCUAUUGAGGAACUUAACUCAAGGGAGAAAGCUUUCGAUGCCAGUUCCUUAUGACAACAACCACCUCAUAUGCUUAGUGGGUCAUCGCCUUAAACCGUUGUUAAAUUGAGCGUAUCUGUUUGUAGAUGAACAUGCAAUUGAAAAAUGCCAAAUUGUUGCCCUGUUAUAUUUGUGUAUGUGCUAGGCCAGUCUUUAGCACUUUAUGGAACUGUAUAUCUACCUCAAUAAACUUAUUCGCUUCUUAACAGAUCUAACUGAGUGAGAACCUUAGUUGUAAGUAUAACAUGUGGGAAGUAAACACCAAACCACCCCAUGUGCAUCAACUUAGUUGCUUGACAUUAGAGAAGCAUGACCCUUGGAAGGAAAUUAAGCUUAAAGGCUACAAUAAGCAGGUGGGUUGAGCUGACAUCUGGCAUUUCGCCAUACUGCUGGGGAUGUUUGUGCUCAGAAAUUUGCAUGCUUUUGAUGAACUUCAAAUAGUGUUAUUACAUGGCUUCUGCCUUAUGUAUGUGAGAGCCUCUGACCCAAGCGUUAUAGAAUCUUCGUUCAACAGUAUAUUAAGUCAAUUGUUUCGUUUUAUAUGUUCCUGUUUAUAUUCUUCUUCUUAUUUAUAUUACUGCUGCAAAUGUGUACUUUUGGAAAUAGACUGCUCAUAUCCUUAUGUCACACUAAUUUUCUGCAUUAUGGUUCUUGAUCAUUUCCAGGAAACUGCAAAAGAGGAGGUAGACAAAAUUGUGGUUACUGAUGCACCACUUCUCU